rnacentral:misc_RNA from 1 species
UCUGCUCAAAUUUAAAGACCUGGAAAAUUUAAAGCUCGCUGAAGAUUUAGCAAAGGCAUGCUUUGAAAUGUAUUCAGUCACUUCUACUGGUCUUGCCCCAGAAAUUGCUUAUUUCAACACCAAGGAAUAUUCUGAAGGUGGGCUUGAUUGUGGAAAUAAAGGUUCUAAGUUUGUUGAUGACAUAAUAAUCAAACACUCUGAUUGUCAUAAUCUUUUGCGCCUGGAAAUUGUAGAAUCGUUGUCUGUAUUGUAUCGAAUUACAGAGGACCCAAAAUACUGUGAAUGGGGUUGGCCAAUCUUUGAAACAUUUGAGAAGUACACAAAGGUUGAAUCUGGUGGGUAUUGUUCUUUAGAAGAUGUCACAGUGCUUCCUCCUCAGAGAAGAGACAAGAUGGGGACCUUCUAUUUGGGAGAGACAUUGAAGUAUCUGUACUUGCUACUUGGGGAUAGCUCCAUUGGAUAAGUUUGUCUUUAACACAGAAGUUCAUCCUCUUCCUAUUAAACGUAACUGGGAGGGACUGGUGUCUUUUCUAUCUGAAGCACACAUGUGAAGAAACACAUUUGCAACUUGUAUUUUGGUGAGAAAUAGACUCGAGUACUUCUUGCAAAAUGGUGGUCAAUGAAGUACAAAUCAAGAAUUGAUAGCAGUGCAAUGUGUCGGACAUUUAAUCUGCACUAAUUGUCUACAGAGCAGAACAAUUUUUUGGGGCAACUCUAUUCAUAUGGCCCAUCAGAUUAUGACAUGGUUGUAAGAUGUAAUUGUUUUAGUUAACAUUCUUCAUAUUUAUAUGUGGAUGAGGUUCUUUGCUCCGAAAGUACUGAAUGAAAGUGCAACCAUCUGUAAUUGACUUAUCCAAUUUUCCAGCACUUGCUGCAGUUUUGGAGGCCUAUUUGGACCAACUUAUAUAUUGCACUUUUUGUCAAUAUUUCUUUAUUCAUCGUUCAAGAUAUCAAGCUAAUCUGCAUGUCUACAUCGAAAACUUCAACAAACUUUUAGGUCACAUCGCAAUCCAAAUUUUCGGUGUCACUUUGAAAGAGAAACAGAUGAUCACCAUCUCGAAUGACACAUAUAUCAUCUAUUUCUGCAUUAUCAGAAUUGAUGACUCUUGUAAAUUUGUACCCUCCAAACUUUUCACCGCCAAUUAUGAGCAGCUCUUCUAUGGAAUCAGGCAGUAUAAUUAGCUUUCCACGGGGCCUCUUCAAUGUACUUCUGUUGUGAAACUGCGUAUGGAUAGUGACUCUCUUCUUGGUUAAUUUCUUUGAUUCCCUAUUGCUGGGACAGCUAUAGGGGCGUGAACUAGAGUUUGUGGGUACUAUUUUAGAAUGGAAAUUGAAACAAUUGGGCUCACCUACUCCUUUAUGUUUGCCUUGAUUAUUCUGGGAUUCUUCUGAUUCUGGCUCAAUAAAGUCUAUUGUAUGUUCAUCUAAUUUCCUUCUAUUUUCAUAACUCAGUAAAAGGUCAUAAAUGCUCUUAUUUCCCUGCUGUUCUGCUAGAGCUUUUGGGGUUCGUCCUAUGGCAUCUGGUUUGUCUGCAUUUGCUCCUCCUUCCAGCAGAAUCUUAACCAUUUCAAGAUGCCCCUUGCGAACAGCAGCAAGAAGAGCCGUUUGGUUGUCCUCAAUUGUUGAAUUUACAUCGCCUACAUGUGUGAUAAAAUUAUGAUCUGCUCCUCUUUCGCCAUUUCCUCUAGCCUCGGAUUCCUCAGCAGAUAAAUCUCCUACUUCACGCAAUAAUGGAUCUCCAUGCGAAUAAUUUUGAUAUCCUGCCUCAAAGCACCAUCCUUCCUUUGGUCCUCCAUCGCACCAUUCACUGAGAAUCGUUCCUGGAUCUUUUUUCUGGUAAUCAAAGCCUGUGCUUUCUGAUCCUUGCAGUUUCUUGAAAAGAUUAUUCAUUAUGAUACGACCAUCUUCUGUAUUUGCCUGUAUGGUGUUAAUCAGUGAAGUUCUGGUUAGUCUAAGUAUUUGAGAAAGUUCACUUGUCCUGGCUGAGAAAGGUUGUGGCUUGUAAUAUAAAACUCCAAUCUCUCCGAAAAUAUCCCCUGCAGUUGCUUUCCCAAUAACCUGGUCAAUUCCAUCCGAAUAGGAUAUCAAAUCCACUGUUCCUGAGACAAGUAUAUAAAGAUCUGUUGAAGCUUCACUCUGCAAAAUUACGUCCUCCUUGGGUGGAAAAUAUUCAGCCUCCAUUCCUGAAGCCAAUUGGAAGAGGAAUUCAUGAGAAACCCCUUGAAAAAGAUAUACUUUUUCAACAAUGGGGUAGAAGAGAUGGCGUGCAAUGCUUGAACGAAUUGCUUUUGGCAGACCAUUCAAGGUUUCUUGUUGCUUCAGUCCUUCUGUUUUGAACUUCAGACACAAGUGUGACAGCAUUUGAUCCUGUAUGCGAGGUGGCAACUGAUUUCGUGUGGCAAAUUCUGAAGCUGCUCUGACUGUGUCCCUAAAAUUCCUUGUGCGACUGGUCCAGUGAACUACAAGGUUUGUCAUGUUUCCAAUGAGGUAAGCUGUCAAUCCCAAGUUGAACAACAUGUAGAAGAUGUCGAAAAGCAUCUCCCUGGGGUUCUCAGCAUGCAAGUCCCCAUAUCCAGUUGUAGUUAGUGUGGUAAUAGACCAGUAAAUAGCAGUUACAUAUCUGUUCCAGAGACUGUCUUCUUUGAAAUUUGGGUUUACUGCACCUAUCCAUGUUCUCUUUGGAUCAGGAUACCUGUCUGCAAUCAAGUAGUUAAAGCAUCCAGCGCAGUGUACUGCAAACAGGGUUACAGAGACGAGCUUUGUGCACCGAGUCCAGAAGUAGUUGAACCGGAUGUCCUUCUCAAGUCUGAAAGAAGCAAACAAUUUAUUGCAAUCCUUCUAUCAUAACAAUUUGAAAAUUUGAGGAAAAUAAAGUGCAUAGGAUUGAUGAUCAACCUUGCAAAAAGGGAGCUGACACGUCGGAGACGCCAAAGCCUAAGCAUGUUGAGUAAUCUAAAGCCAAUUUCGCUGCUGCUUCGAUUUGUGAACAGGAGACUGAGAGACUGAAAUGGAGCGGUUGAGCAAACAUCAAAGAGAAACCAAGUAGAUAUGUACCUGAUUGCUAUUUUCUUCGGAUCAUCAACAAGGAGAUAAGUUUGGCUGUCAAGAUAUGCAACGAAAAAAGUGAGAACAAUAUCAAUGGCAAAGAAGCCAUUGACAAUGUUGUCAAUGAUGAAAAGAGCAUCAUCUUUCUUGUAAGUUAGAAAUGCAAGCUCAAAUGGAGAGAUCCAAGCAGAGUAAACGACUAGAACAACCAGCCACAUCUCCCAAGCCCUAUAACGGGAACUGUAGGGGGAAAUUAUGUAUCUUCGGAGUAUGGUUGCCUGGUUUAUUCUAGCUCCAAGGGAUGGUAGAAGGUCACUAGAAAAGAAGCUGCCGUGGGGGAUGCCCUCCAUUUGAACAUCCUCUUUACAGAAUCGUUUGAAGAAGAUUUUGGCACAGGAAAGUGACAUCAUGGGCUGUUUGAAUUCCUAAGAAUACUGUUAAGUUUUGGUGAAGAUGAGCCCCUUGGUAAUGGCUUUAUUUAUAUGGCCUGGUAGGCUUGUGACAGGUGACACCGGUUAACUCUGCUUUUUACGGCCUUUUUUCCUUAGUACUCGUGACAUGUAUGAAAUGAUUCUGCAGGUAACUUAUGCAAGUAGUGCGUCACUAAAGGAUGAAAAUGAAAGCAUGAAAAAAACAUGAAAAGGGAACUUUCCCUCCCGUUUGAACAACAAAGAAGAUAAGAAAACACAGGCAAUGGAAGAAAGAAGGCGAUGUGAGAUAGUAGUGCAAGUGGCAGACAUGAGACUUUCUGUAAUGUUGUAGUUGCAGCGAUGAAUAUUCUG